UACGGGGGGGGCAAGCGUUGUUCGGAAUUACUGGGCGUAAAGCGCGCGUAGGCGGCCUGCUAAGUCGGACGUGAAAUCCCUCGGCUCAACCGAGGAACUGCGUCCGAUACUGGUGGGCUUGAAUCCGGGAGAGGGAUGUGGAAUUCCAGGUGUAGCGGUGAAAUGCGUAGAUAUCUGGAGGAGCACCGGUGGCGAAGGCGGCAUCCUGGACCGGUAUUGACGCUGAGGCGCGAAAGCUAGGGGAGCAAACGGG
rnacentral:rRNA from 1 species